AGAAACAACACCAGGUACCAGGUCUGCCAAAACGCUCUCUUUUGGAAGCUGCUACAAAGGAGUGCGGAAUGGUAGACCUGGACCUGUUCCUGCGAGGCU
rnacentral:pre_miRNA from 1 species